CAGCUGCCCGCUUGCCCGUAGCUGACUCAGCUCCCUCAUCUUCAUCUCCAUCCUCUUCCUCACCAUCACCUUCUUCCUCCCCACCUUCUUCCUCUUCUUCAUCUACCUCGUUGUCAGCCUCCGGCUCCCCAUUUUCCUCAUUAGCAUUCCCGUGAGCAGGGGCGUCUCUUCCAUUUUCCGCCUCUUCCACAACUUCCUUCUUCUCCUUUAAGUCCUCGGUGGUGAUUUCGGAGCUGGUGUCUACGGCUGCGUCUGACAUGGUGGGGCACGCCGGUGACGCGAUGCAGGGGAUAAAAAAGAAAGCGACAGUUCAGGGACUCUGGCGAUAAAGCUGCCGGAGUCCGCGGCGGCGGAGGCGGCUGCGGCGAGCAAGGAGGCUGACGACGCACAAUGCAAAGACGGCUUUUCAGAGCAGCCAGUGGGGCAGGACAAUGUUUUUCAUCAAAUGUCCUUAGAUUUGGAGGAGGUUUCCCCAGUGUAUCCAGUGGUUGUCUUCCUCUUGAUUAAUAUUAAAGGAGGAGAAAAAGUGUGUAUUGGGGUCAGUGCAGAAAACAAAUCAUCCAAGCACACGAAGUGGAAUUUGCUAAUAGCAUUACUACUCACCCAGUGACUUCGGAGUCACAACCCAGGACACGGUUUUCCGCCCAUUUCUACAGACACAGUGAGAUUCUUCAUUCUUCUCUGUUGGAACAGCCAGGAAAGCGGAAGAGACCUCCAGCUGCACAACGACCUGUCCCCCACACCCAACCACAAGUUUAUGAAGGGAUGCAGAACAGCAUGAAUACUGCAAAAGAUGCUCUGUGCAUCAGAACGUCCAGAAGAGAGAGAUUUAAAUUGCUUUCAGCUAAGCUGUAGACCUCUAGCAGAUGAACGACAUAUUUUCCUGAAGGACUUGCUUCGGUGUGGAAGUGAUUCCGCUGUGAGUUGUGUCUUUUGCGUUGUUGCACUCUUCAUCAUAUUCAUCCGCAGGACCUCCAGCUCUAAAGGGUGUGAAGAGGAUACUGACCCACCAGAAAGAGACCCCACUGCUAGAACGAAUAAGAUGUGCUGAAAGCCGGAGCAUAACUUGGCCAUUCCCAAGAUUUAACAACAAACUAACUACCCAUCAUUAACAGUAAAGAAAGAAAACAAUCAGUAAGAGAUUAUAUAGACCUAAGAGAUGUUACAGACCGAAGAAGAACCUAUGGAGGAAGACAGGAAGAUGAGAGAGAUUUGAAGAUGGUAUGUGGCUGAAUUUGAAGAUAGAGAAAGGAACCGCAAGCAAAGAAUGCAAGAGGUCUCUAGAAGCUGGAAAAGGCAAGGAAAGAGUCUCCCCUCAAGCUCCAGCAGGAAUGCAGUCCUGACACCUUGAGUUUAGCCUAGUGAGACUUCUGACCUCCAGAACUAGAAGAUACAAGUGGUGUUUUAAGGCACUAAAACGAAGAACUAGAAGUAUUGUUUUAAGCCCAUAAAUUUGUGAUAAUCUGUUACAGUAGUAAUAGGCAAUGCAUACACAAGCACACAAAGUAAAAUUUUUCUGUGGUUAUUUUCCAUAUUUUUUCAGUUAUUUUCUGCCUUUUGAAGACAUUAAAGACAUAAAAUGAAUAUGUAUUAGUUUAGGAAUAAAAUUUAAAAUGUAGGAAUGCUAUAAAAGAAGAAAAAAUUUUAACUGGGCUAAAGCAAACCCAGUAUGUCAUCCUAUUACAUCAGCUUCUUCAUCUUUGGAUGAAGAGGUUGGUGACUGUUUCUUCUAAUGUGAGAAUAGCUCCAAAUUGCUAAAUUGUUCAGAAUUUGACAAGAUGAAAGAGGAAAGAAAAAGGAAAUCUUGAAAACAUUUACUGUUUCCUUGUUCAAUGGAUAACACAUGGAUUCCUGAUUGGGAGAUUUUUCCUCUUGCUUUGAUCUGAAGGCAGAAGGAAAUAUAUUCAUUAUUGUUUAAAAGAAUACAUUUUAACCUAACUUUAAAACAUUCAUGAUAUAUUUGUGAACCAUAAUCUUAUUACCCCAACCUAGAAGUUAUUUUGAUCACUAAACUUCCUUUUCAAUAUCUUCAUAUAUGUGUCUUUACAUACUUUAAAUAAAAAAUAUAUAAUUGUAUAACGUUUUAUUAUUUUAUUUAAUAUUUAUCACUUCUAAUAAAUAUAUGUAAAUAUGUAAACAGAAUUUAUGUAUUUUUUCAACAAACAUUUCAAACAUCUACCUUAUGCAAAGCAAUAUAUAGUGAAGGCAGAUAUAAAGUAUAAAUAAGUAUUCUCUAAUAUUGCCUCUAUUUUAAAAAAACUAAAUGUAUUGAGCAUUCUCUAUAUGCCAGGAACUGAACUAAGUAAUUUACUGUUAAUUUACACUAUAAUUCCAUGAAGUAGGUAUUAAUAUUAUCUCCAGGACUAAAGUGAGAUGAUUGACAUUUCUCUUUCCAGAUGAAAUUAGGUAAGUUAUCCAAGGUCAUGUAUCUAGGAAGCAAUAAAUCUAGGAAAUUCAAAUUUAUUGUUAAUUUUUCUAUUUUUUUAUGGAAUUAAGAAAAUGUUAUUUAUAGUUAAUGCUCUUAUACAGAAUUCCCUAUAUUUAACUUUUUCUUCUUAAAAUGACUUAUUUGAGUAACUAUGAGCCUUGGACAUUUUCAAUUUGGGGGCAUUCGUGGGAAUAUUGGCCUCAAAAGUAUCACUCCAAUUUAUAGUCUGCCUGUUAAUAUACCUUUUCCUUGCAAUCACACCAGUCAUGAGCUUUGUAAAAUAAUUAGAAUUGAAUAUUUUUCCAGAAGAUUGUUUAUAAGUUUUAUUUCCUUUUGAAUGAGUUCAUGGUUCUUAGCUUUUGCUUCUUUAUCUACUGAGUUCUAAGAAAACAUUUUCUCUUUGACUAAAAACAUUUUAUCCUAGGCUCUUUCCUCUCCUGCUCAAUAAGUUGCCAUUGGAACUCUGCAAGGAAAAAUUCUAAAAGUUUCAGUGGUGAAUAGAGCAUAAAUGAGAAAUUAAAGCAUUAAUAUUUGUUAGGAAGUAACUUCUCUUCUAGCACAAAAACAAUACAAAAUAUAUUAUUGUUAUCUUAUAAAUGGCAUUACUUAGACAGGAACCCAGCAAUUUUGGAGUCUACACAAUCAGAAGGAGCUACAGUGGGUCUUAUUCUUACCAAAUAGUAGAAGGUUAAUUCUUUUUCAUCCCUGAGAAUCUGUUUAUUCAGAAUGUAGUGUGCUUGAAUCUCCUGGGUUUGUCCACAGGUCAAAGUACCAAUAAUAGGUUUGAGGUGAAUAUAACUCUUGCUUGGGGAAAAAAAAUGCUUUGCAGUAUGAGAUGUUUGCGUAUGAAAUUCAUCAAGCCACCAGUUAUCAGAACAAUUGUUACUCUCUUUGUAUUUGACCUAAUGGAAGAAUAAAUAAGCUGUUUUAUAUAUAAUAUAUAUAUGAUUGCAAAAAUAUAUAAAAAUAUGCAUAUUAUAUAUGUUUGUAUAUAUAUACAUAAAGCAAUAUAAUAAAGCCAUAUAAGAAGGCUGCUUUCUUAAAUA
rnacentral:lncRNA from 1 species